GGCUGCUCACUUCCUUAAACUUAACCUGUCCAAAACAAAACUUCUAGUUUUUCCUCCCUCAAGUGCUGCUACUCCUGUGUCUGUCUCCAUCCAAGUCAACGGCGCUACUAUCACCUCUACCUCGCAGGCUCGCUGCCUAGGGGUUUUGAUCUCUCUGAUCUCUAUUUUACUCCCCAUAUCCAAUCAAUGGCCAAAUCCUGUCGCUUCCAACUCCAGAACAUAGUUCGCAUCCGCCCAUAUCUAACGCCGGACGCGGCUAAGGUACUGGUUCAUGCUGUUGUUCUCU